rfam:Triticum aestivum genome assembly, contig: Triticum_aestivum_CS42_TGACv1_scaffold_224088_3B
UGUGUACUCCCUCCGUUCCAAAAUACUUGACUUCCAUUUGUCCAAAAAUGGAUGUACCUAUAUACUAAAACAUGUCUAGAUACAUAUAUAUUUUGACAAAUCGAAGGCAUGUAUUGUGCAAUGGAGGGAGUAGAAU